GCGAAUGCUUUUCCUCCUGGGUUACAGGGUCUGAGGUUUGCUGUAGGUGUUGGCCUUGGAUGCCCACCCACUGCUAAAGGACGCUGAAAUGAAGUAGCUUGGAGAGUAAACCCUGUUAAAAGGAGAAAGGCUUGGGAAGAGCCCUACGCUGGUCCUGAGACAUCCCCUCCUACAGUGGAGCUGAGACAUCCUGAGGGCCAUGUAGGGACAGCCGGCCAAGAUCCAGCAGGAGCUUCCCAAAGACCAGCUGCUGAACAUCACACUCACCCUGGAGAGACCUCAGGGUGACUCUGGAGGACACUGAGUCCAGGAGCAGCAGGUAAAUCUGGGAUUGGAGGGGAGUGGGCAGCCCUGCUUCCUCCAUUCACUCCUGGAGCCCUUGGAACCAUUCCUAACGGUGAACGAACCCGUGUCGGGGCGACGGAACGGAAGUGGGGUUUGCUGGUGCAAGGGCAAGAGGGAGUAUCUUCAUUGAGACAGCUUGCCCUGUCCUUCCUGCACUGCUGGGGUCGGAGCUGGGGAGAGGCUGCACACCCCACUGAGGCCGCACCCCAUCCGGGAAGUCAUGGCAAGGCAGUCAAGGCCACGGCCCGGGGCACAAGAACCCAAAACCCACCCAACAGCUGCAUCUGAAGUACCCACAGGAAGAAGACUGCUAUCUGGUGAGCGGUUGGCCCCAAAAGACAUGUUCGUGUCCUUACCCAGUACCUAAGUGUGGACUUCUCUUGCAGGUAUAAUUGAGACCCUGCGGGGAAGUCAUCAGAUCUGCGGCAGACCCUCAUCCAAGGGCCAUCACCCAGAAGCUAGCCACACAGAGGGGAGGCCAGGAGAUGAGAGUCAUGUGAUCAUAACCUAGAAGCCAUCAGAAACUGGGGAGGGAGAGAGAGGUCUUUCCCUGAAUGGAGGAAGCCAAGGUGCCUGUGACAAUGUCAGUCUCAGUGACAUGGAGCCAGGGCUCCAAUGGGGCAGGAGUGAAGAGCGGCAUACUGGCCCUGGAUGCCUCAAUCUGGACCUCUGAGUGUUACCGAAUGAAAGCAUCCAUCCUGGCAGACCAAGUAGGAGACCCAGGGGACCACCAGGGGGCAAUUGCAACAGUCUCUGGCUGAGGCACUGGGUAUAGGACUUUGAUUUGGGUUUGCCUGAUCAGGGAAGGAUAUUGCUGACUUACCCACCAGUAGCUGGUCCCUUGGGUCUUCCCGAGAGCACGCUGUCCAUGCUCACUGUGGGUCCAGGACACAGUGCAGCUCCUCACAGGGACCUCAGCAGCACAAGUGAAUGAGCUUGGCUCAUAUCUGUCCUGGAAAGCGACAGACAUGUGGGACCAGACACAGGAUCCAGGAGGACCUGAAAUCUAGCGUCUGCAACCAAGCUCUCCCCAGCCCUCUCCAACAAUAAUGCAGCUAAGAAAAGCAGUCUGUUGGAAGUGAGUGAUGGAUGGCCAGACAGAACAGUCCAUGUAGGCAGCAAGGGGGACUGCAUGCUUGAUGGGGCUGCAGCCCAGCCUCAGUCACGUGACAACUCCAGCAACAGGCUGCAGCUUCCAGAAUGAUGACAAGCAGAUCCUGGAGGAGGGGUCUUGGAACCCCACCCACCCACAGAACUCACAAAGCAGGCUGUUAAGCCAGGUUGGCAGGUAUUGCCUUCACUCCUCCCCUCACCCCCACCCCCACCAAGCCCCACCAACACUUGCUUUCUUAGCCAGAAGGUCUACACCCCCUUAAAACAAUCUAGUCCACACAGCAAGGCAACCCUUUGUCCCUUUACACAGUGGGGCUCUGUGUGCCAAUUUCCCAGCAGCCCUUGUGGCCAGGUCCCUGCCCCAGCUAACUGUAAAGACAGAUGCAGUGAACACUUGAUUUCACCCCAGAGAGCUUUUCUCGAAGGGGAAAUAACAAAAACACCUGCUUGCACAAGCCCACCAAUGAGGGUGGAAGAGGAACUCAGAAAACAGAGCUGGCAAGACGCAGCUAAUGUGGACAGUCAACUUGACAUGACCUGUAAUCACCUAGGAGCCAAACCUCGGAGCAUGCCUGUGAGGGUGUUUUUAUAUUAAGUUAGCUGAGGUGGGAUGACACCAUGAACAUGGGUGGCACCUCCCAUGGACUGGGGUCCCAGGCUGGCGUCCUGACAGUGCAUGAGAUGUGAUCGGGUACCUCAGUACCUCAUAUGCCUUCCGCCAUACCUUCCCAGUCAUGAUGGACUAUGUCAUCGAGCUAUGAGCCAAAACAUGCCUUUUCUUUCUUAGGUUGCUUUUGCCAGGAGUAAGUAAUAAGAAAAGUAACUAGUAAACAGGAUGGGUGUCUGUGCCUUCCAGAGCCAGCCGCCUACCCAAGACAGAGGCCUCCCCAGCUCUGGGUCUCGGCCUUGGCUUUAAUCCCAGAGGCAGAGACCAGUGGAUCUCUGUGAGUUCGAGGCCAGCCUGGUCUACAAAGCUACACAGAGAAACCCUGCCCUAAGGGAAAAAAAUAAAAAGAUCCAGAAAACACCCAUGGUGAAUAGUAGAAGGGAACAUUUUUUUUAAAAGCCAAACAGGUUUAACCAAAUCCAUGAGACCUUCCCCCAUACAGAAAACCCUAGGAAAGCACAGGUAACCUUAUUCAAGUAUGCUCUUAAGUGUGUGCUAUAGGUGCCUGACUAUUUACACAUGAACCAAGAGAAAAACUCAACUCUUCAGAGACAGAAAUCCAAUCACCUUGCAGAGCUCAAGAGGACAGCAUCGUCUCCCCCCACAGAUAAAGUGCCCCCGUCCCAACAUUAAGGUUUUAAGAAAUUAAAAUUAAACAUUUACUUUUCAAUCACAUACAACAGGACACCCCAGACUCUGUAUACUCUGUCCUUCCCUUGGCUGGCCCCUCGCUUGGUCUAUGGAGGACCGGGUAGGAGACACUGAGAGGGACUUGGGGAGAGACCCCACAGCAGCCUUACUCCUUUGCCUGUUGGCCCUCUCCGACAAGGUUUGAUCAAAUAUCUUCCGUGCCCGGGCAAGGAUGCAAUUUUCUCUACGCAAGAAACGUUUCCCAUUGUAUGUUCUCCUGAGCACAACUGACUUCACCCUGUGGUAUAAUAGCCCUCUUUUCUCGCUCUCCUUUUAUUUUCUUUUUAUAGUGAAAAUUGUUUUUCUUGCAGUGCAGGGACACCAGGAACACGCUGAAUGAAUAGCAGAUUUCCCUCCCUCCAAUGAACAACGGGGACAGCAUUGUACCCAGACAAACAGAGCUGAGAACUUGGGUCCUGGGGAGGAAAGCCUCGCCUGGGAGAAAUCUUAACAGCAAAGAGGUUAGCAUUGAUCAGAAGUCGUCGGGGGCCUCUCUGUGUGAGUUUGUCCGUAAACGAAAGUCUGCAUUGACUUUCAUUUCGUUCUUAUGACAACCAUCGCUGCUGAGCGCCCAGCUUCCCCUUCUCACUGAGCUGUCCCUUUCCAAUAACUUGCUUGCAUGGAUCUCUUUCCUGGUUGGACCAGAGCUGUCCUCUCCACCCCUAGCCCUGUGAACUCGAAGCCAGGAAGCUUCUUCAGUCCAAGUCACCCUUAAAAAGGCAGGACUAUCCAAGGGCAACUCCUUAGGUUUCCCAGACACUAUUGAUAGUCGAGCUUGCCCCUUUGGGUCAAGCUCCCGAGACGACCAUGAACACAGUCUCUGUGCUAGCCUUGGGAAUGGAACAGUAAGAUGCUACAGCAGUUUCAGCAAAGGACGGGGUAUCCUGCAGUGUGACCUACUGAGGAGACCUGCAGUGGGAAAAGCACAGAAACGGACCACCUGCACCGAUUCUGGAGCCAGGGAGGCUGGGGUAGCUGUGGCAAACAAGCCAGCAGAGAAAGCUGGCCGUGGUGAGAGGCUGAAGUUCUGGAGGACGGAACUGGGCUGAUGAAGGCUUGUCAAGGUCAUGGCUUUGUCCUAAGGAUGUCCAGAGCCUUCUCACGCUCUCUCACCCUUUUCUCAAGGUCAGAAGUGUACUUUUAAGGACCAGGCUAGAGGCUGCCACUGGACAACACUGCCCCUCACUAUCAGAGCCACAGAAAGCCAUGCUAGAACAUCAAGUUUCAAUGGACGAGAGGUAUCAAGGGUAGGAGCACGGUCUGGGACAGUCAUAGAAAAAAAUUGCUGGGGAAGCCAGGGACAUUCUGGAAUCACCCAAGCCAACAGCUCUUGGCACUGGUCAAUGAAGAAUUGACCGAUAAAAUAAUAAACCUGCCAAGAGGUGGGAAAUAGCAAA